rnacentral:rRNA from 1 species
UGACAAGAAAUAACAAUACGGGGCUUAAAGUCUUGUAAUUGGAAUGAUGGGAAUUUAAACCUCUUCCAGAGUAUCAAUUGGAGGGCAAGUCUGGUGCCAGCAGCCGCGGUAAUUCCAGCUCCAAUAGCGUAUAUUAAAAUUGUUGCAGUUAAAAAGCUCGUAGUUGAAUUUCUGCUGCAUUGCUUGUGUCCCUCUGGGGUCUGUGCAUGUGGCUUUUUUCGGACGGAGUUUCUUUGUCUGAAUGUUUACUUUGAGAAAAUUAGAGUGCUCAAAGCAGGCUUUCGCCUUGAAUAGUUUAGCAUGGAAUAAUAAAGUAGGACUUUGGUUCUAUUUUGUUG